GUCUGAAAAACAAGUUAAUAAACUAAAACUUUCAACAACGGAUCUCUUGGUUCUGGCAUCGAUGAAGAACGCAGCGAAAUGCGAUAAGUAAUGUGAAUUGCAGAAUUCAGUGAAUCAUCGAAUCUUUGAACGCACAUUGCGCCCCUUGGUAUUCCGAGG
rnacentral:rRNA from 1 species